rnacentral:snoRNA from 1 species
ACAAGUUUGACGACACUCUGGUGCCUAGUGGUAUAUUAGAUCUGAAAUUUUACUAUUUCAGCUUUUCUUUUAUUCUAACUAUAUUAGGUUCCUAUUUUGGCUCAAACAAGAUCCACUGACACUUACUCACCAAGAUAGUCUCUUCCUCCAUGACUAUAUUGGUCCAUCUUUCAUCUGUCAUAUAU